AUUGUAAAUCGUCUUGUCGCUUCGAAUUUAUUUCGGAGAGGAAAGUCCGGACACCACAGAGUAACAUAGCGGGUAACACCCGUCAUUUCGAACUUGUUUCGGGAUAGGACUAGUGCAACAGAAAGGAUGUACAGUUAGGCUGUAGUGAAAUCAGGUAAACUCUAUGCGGUGCAAUGCCAUGUAUACCAACGUUCGAGGGUUACUCGCCCAAAGUUGGAGGGUAGGCAGUUUUGAUUUCGAUAGUAAUGUCGGAGCUAGAUAAAUGACAAGAAAAGGGGUUUAUUUUUUCCUCUUUACAGAAUCCGGCUUAUAGAUUUAUAUUUUUU
rnacentral:RNase_P_RNA from 2 species